GCCUGGGUGGCUCAGUCAGUUGAGCAUCUGACUUUGGCUCAGGUCAUGAUCUCACAGUCUGUGAGUUCAAGCCCCACAUCAGGCU
rnacentral:tRNA from 1 species